AGGUGAACCUGCGGAAGGAUCAUUCAUAAAUGAGUGUUUUAUGGCACUCUUUAAAAAUCCAUAUCCACCUUGUGUGCAAUGUUUGUUGGGAAAGCUUCUUGCUUCCCUUCAUAAUAUCAACCUAUAUCUUUAACAACAUUCGUCUGAUAACAUAUUAUGAAUAUACUUAAUUCAAAAUAUAACUUUCAACAACGGAUCUCUUGGCUCUCG
rnacentral:misc_RNA from 1 species